UGAAGUUACAAUACAAUUCCCGAUAGGAUUCAUAAUUAUUGUGAAGAUGCCUUGUAACCAAAUAAUUUUAAUUAAUGGGGGAAUAUAUAAUG
rfam:Lactobacillus agilis DSM 20509 NODE_226, whole genome shotgun sequence.